UGGGGAAUAUUGCACAAUGGGGGAAACCCUGAUGCAGCCAUGCCGCGUGUGUGAAGAAGGCCUUCGGGUUGUAAAGCACUUUCAGCGAGGAGGAAAGGGGUGAUGCUAAUACCAUCAUUCUGUGACGUUACUCGCAGAAGAAGCACCGGCUAACUCCGUGCCAGCAGCCGCGGUAAUACGGAGGGUGCAAGCGUUAAUCGGAAUUACUGGGCGUAAAGCGCACGCAGGCGGUCAGAUAAGUCAGAUGUGAAAGCCCCGGGCUCAACCUGGGAACUGCAUUUGAAACUGUCUGACUAGAGUCUUGUAGAGGGGGGUAGAAUUCCAGGUGUAGCGGUGAAAUGCGUAGAGAUCUGGAGGAAUACCGGUGGCGAAGGCGGCCCCCUGGACAAAGACUGACGCUCAGGUGCGAAAGCGUGGGGAGCAAACA
rnacentral:rRNA from 1 species